rnacentral:rRNA from 1 species
CUCCUACGGGAGGCAGCAGUGAGGAAUAUUGGACAAUGGGCGCAAGCCUGAUCCAGCCAUGCCGCGUGCAGGAUGACGGUCCUAUGGAUUGUAAACUGCUUUUGCACGAGAAGAAACAACGCUACGUGUAGCGUCUUGACGGUACUCUAAGAAUAAGGAUCGGCUAACUCCGUGCCAG